CGUCAUAGUUCAGAAGCGAUGAUGACCGGGAGCGUGUGCUGUGCGCGCCUGCCUUGAGGCCAGCCUCAGAGAAGGGUGCCCCAGAUGUAGGCAAAGCGUCCUCCAUGUGUUCGUGGAGGACCGUCCCAAGCCCUUCUCCAUUCUCCCAACCUCUUGGGCCUGGCAGAAAGGUGUUAAAUGGCUUGCAGAAUUGUUGGGAAGGCUAAGCUUCCAGGAGCAGCUCCCAAAGUCUCCACACACAACUGGACCACCAGGGAACCUGCUCCCUCCACCAGGACAGGACUUGGAAAGCUGCCACCGCAGUUACCAGCACCAGAAGGAUCUUGUCUCUGCUAAGUCUCUGUCCACAUAGUGAAUACCCCGUGCCCUGCCUCUCCCUGACUCAGGUCCCACUCCAGGUCUUGCCCAAGUCUUUCUGAUUGGUGGAACUUAAAUCACACCCAAAAUUCCAGCUGCAGGAGAGCUCUGAGAUUUCAUCUUUCCAACCUCUGUGUGCUACAUGGGGGUUGGAGCACUUGCUGACAAGCCUUGCAACCACCAGUGACAGUGA
rnacentral:lncRNA from 1 species